UGUCGAUGAUGUAUCAAAAAUAUUUGCUACUCUUGACAUGCCUUUGGGUAUUGUGACGACAUUUAUUUAUCACCAAGAUCACUGAGACG
rfam:Phytophthora parasitica INRA-310 unplaced genomic scaffold supercont2.114, whole genome shotgun sequence.